GAAGAUGCUUUGCAGGGGUUUCCUACCUUGUGAGGAAAAUGUGGUGACAAAAGCCCUUGCAGGAGCCUAUGAGGGGAACAGGGCAGCUCCCAGCAAUGAACCCGACUGCAGCUGUGGAGUUGGAGGAAAGACUUCUAACAGGACACUUCCAGCCUGAUGGAUUGUGUGUGGAAGAGCAUACCAAAGAUGCUGCAAGACCUCAUUCCUAGGACCUUCCUGGCAGGAGGGAUCAACCACGUGAGAGAAAAGAGGGGACAAAAAA